ACCCGCCCUCCCUGACAUGGCGUCCUCCUGGGAGCCACUAGGCUGUCCCUCAGGGUCUGUCAGAGCCCUACAACACCUCCUCUGCCCCCUCAGGGCUCUCAAAUGAAAAAAAACCCACCACAGCUACCAUCCUUCUGUUUGGAAAACGGCAACCUUCAGAGCAGGACCGGGCUGUGACUGAGGAGCCGGUCCCCAAGCAUCACCGAGGACUGCACAGGCUGGCAGCUACGGGAACUGCAGAAAUCGCUUAUUCACUGCUUUGACGCUGUGUGCGUUCCCAGCCAGAGCCUGCCCAGAAACUGACAGCUGGCUCCACACUCCGUGUGACCAAGGGCUAGUGGCUACAGUGACAUUGCGGGGGCCUUCAGAAGAAACUUCUAAUCUAAAGCAAAACCUAUACACACCAAAGCCAAACACACUCACAAGCCAUCAGGUGCUGUUGAGAGCCUUCAGUGAAGAAUUUAACCAUCGCGUUUGGCCAUGACGCUCUCUUUUCACGACAACACAUAUUACUACACCAAAAGAAGGUAUCCUCUGGCCUUGCUACUCAUAGUCGGGCCGAUGGACCAGCAGCAUCAGCAUGACCGGGAGCUGGUGAGAAAUUCAGAUUCCUGGACCCUGCGCCAGGUCUGUAAAAUCAGAAUCAGCAUUUUAACAACAUCCCAGGUGGUUCAAAUGCACAUUCACGCAACAUACUUGGAGAAGCACCGCCAUGAGGCGAAAUCUGGAACAUCAGUAUCUUUUCUCAUGAACUGAGAAACUAGCGAAGACCACGGAAUGAAUGGCUGGGUUUGAGCCUAGUCAUUCGGACUAAGGUAAAAUGCAUAAUACUCAGAUACAAAACAGCAGAAAGUAGGAAUUAAUUCUCAAGGUUAUCCAUCCCAAUAAAGCCUAAAUUCUAGAAGGAGGCAAAUAAA